rnacentral:lncRNA from 1 species
UGGCGGGCGCAGCCGGGACGCUCAGGGAGAACGUGGGCGCGGGUCCGCGCAGGGCUUCGGCCGUCCCCGAGGAGGACCCGGGAUGCUCCGCCCGCUCGCGAGCUCGCUUCUCCAGAGCCCGGGUAUUCCCGAGGAGGGUCCGGGGCCGGGCUGUCCUCGCCGGUCUCCGCCGUCCCCCGGGCUCCGGGCCGGUGAUGGGGGUCGCCGGGGCCCGCUGUCUGUGCAGGAUUCAGGUCAACUUCGGAGAGGUUGAAGUCGGAAUCAGGGCGAGGGCGUCGCGUGCGGCCGCAGAGCUCAGCGGGGCGGGCUCUGACGCCCGCUCUGCGGCUUCGGUGUUUGAACAGGCCACAGUCCAGGAGCGCUUACAUUCAGGAGCUCCGCGUAGCACCUGCCCAACCAAACUCAGCCCUCCGUUAAGAUCCUGGUUCCAUGCCGCAGUAGGACAGCAGGCCCAAGUCUGCACAUCCCAGUGAUGCACCAUGCCAAUAGUGGAUAAGUUGAAGGAGGCCCUGAAACCCGGCCGCAAGGACUCGGCUGAUGAUGGAGAACUGGGGAAGCUUCUUGCCUCCUCUGCCAAGAAGGUCCUUUUACAGAAAAUCGAGUUCGAGCCAGCCAGCAAGAGCUUCUCCUACCAGCUGGAGGCCUUAAAGAGCAAAUAUGUGUUGCUCAACCCCAAAAC